rnacentral:rRNA from 1 species
CCUGGCUCAGAUUGAACGCUGGCGGCAUGCCUUACACAUGCAAGUCGAACGGCAGCACGGGAGCAAUCCUGGUGGCGAGUGGCGAACGGGUGAGUAAUAUAUCGGAACGUGCCCAGUCGUGGGGGAUAACGUAGCGAAAGCUACGCUAAUACCGCAUACGAUCUAUGGAUGAAAGCGGGGGAUCGCAAGACCUCGCGCGAUUGGAGCGGCCGAUAUCAGAUUAGGUAGUUGGUGGGGUAAAAGCCUACCAAGCCUUCGAUCUGUAGCUGGUCUGAGAGGACGACCAGCCACACUGGAACUGAGACACGGUCCAGACUCCUACGGGAGGCAGCAGUGGGGAAUUUUGGACAAUGGGCGCAAGCCUGAUCCAGCAAUGCCGCGUGCAGGAUGAAGGCCUUCGGGUUGUAAACUGCUUUUGUACGGAACGAAACGGUUCUCUCUAAUACAGGGGGCUAAUGACGGUACCGUAAGAAUAAGCACCGGCUAACUACGUG